rnacentral:lncRNA from 7 species
CCCCCCCCCCCUCGCGGUGGCUCAUAAAAUCUCCGAGGCAGAGGCAGGGCAGCUUUCUCAGCCCCCGAGCUCGCAAAGGUGACCCAGGGACAGACAAACUGUGCUGAAGUCAGAAAUCAACUGGCAUAUUCAGUCUGGAGGAAUCUCCCAGGGUACCAGUCGAAUGCAUUAAGAGUGUAUUUCUCCAGCAAGAAGUGAUGGGAAGAGCACAGAGCAAAAAGAAGAAAGAAGCAGGGAAGAAGAUGAAGAAAUAAUCUCUCGAAGGACGCAGUAAUACUACCAUCUAACUAAAAAGAAUUCAGACAUGCACACAAUCCUCAGGAAAAUUCAUCUCCACCCUCCCAACGGACUCUGACUACCACUGAUCCAAGGACCACUGGUGUGGAACCACUGUUUUGUCCGCUGCUGACAAAAGUAUGUUUAAGAGUCUUGGUUUGGCAACAGGAAGGAUACCAUCCUUUGUCCGAUUCCACUGGCUGAGAGAAGUAUGCCCCAAUCAGAUAAUGGCAGUCAAAAGGAAUAAAGCAAGAUCCUUUCCU